ACAGUGGUGCUUCAGUGGUAGAGUUCUUGCCUUCCAUGCAGGAGACUUGGGUUCAAAUCCUGGUCAAUGCA
rnacentral:tRNA from 1 species